UAGGAACUAAGCUCCGUGUCCCAUUGCCUCAUCUGCAAAUGCAGUGGUCUGGAACCGAACCCGCAAUGUCUCUGAGCACUCUUCCUUCUCAGGAUUCUGCUUACAUCUCAGGACCAGAAAAGCAACAGAAAGGAGACAAUUAAAUGAUGGAAGAAAUCCUGGGGCUUUGAGGAAAGAAGAGCUACUUCACUAGAAUGAAGGAACAAAAGAACAAAAGAAAGAAAAAAG